AUACUCUUGUUUCUCUUCAGAUCGCAUAAAUCUUUCGCCUUUUACUAAAGAUUUCCGUGGAGAGAAACACUUUUGAGUGACCUACCAAUUUUUUGAGGUCUUGCUUUGGCAAGGCU
ensembl:snRNA U5 U5 spliceosomal RNA